GACGAACGCUGGCGGCGUGCUUAACACAUGCAAGUCGAACGCUGAAGACCUGGCUUUUGUUGGGUUGGAUGAGUGGCGAACGGGUGAGUAACACGUGAGUAACCUGCCCUCUUCUUUGGGAUAACGCCCGGAAACGGGUGCUAAUACUGGAUAUUCACUGGCCUUCGCAUGGGGGUUGGUGGAAAGGUUUGUUCUGGUGGGGGAUGGGCUCGCGGCCUAUCAGCUUGUUGGUGGGGUGAUGGCCUACCAAGGCUUUGACGGGUAGCCGGCCUGAGAGGGUGACCGGUCACAUUGGGACUGAGAUACGGCCCAGACUCCUACGGGAGGCAGCAGUGGGGAAUAUUGCACAAUGGGCGAAAGCCUGAUGCAGCGACGCCGCGUGAGGGAUGGAGGCCUGCGGGUUGUAAACCUCUUUCGCUCAUGAUCAAGCCGCAACUGUGGGUUGUGGUGAGGGUAGUGGGUAAAGAAGCGCCGGCUAACUACGUG
rnacentral:rRNA from 1 species